CCUGGCUCAGGAUGAACGCUAGCGACAGGCUUAACACAUGCAAGUCGAGGGGCAGCGGGGUGUAGCAAUACACCGCCGGCGACCGGCGCACGGGUGAGUAACGCGUAUGCAACUUGCCUAUCAGAGGGGGAUAACCCGGCGAAAGUCGGACUAAUACCGCAUGAAGCAGGGGUCCCGCAUGGGGAUAUUUGCUAAAGAUUCAUCGCUGAUAGAUAGGCAUGCGUUCCAUUAGGCAGUUGGCGGGGUAACGGCCCACCAAACCGACGAUGGAUAGGGGUUCUGAGAGGAAGGUCCCCCACAUUGGUACUGAGACACGGACCAAACUCCUACGGGAGGCAGCAGUGAGGAAUAUUGGUCAAUGGGCGUAAGCCUGAACCAGCCAAGUCGCGUGAGGGAUGAAGGUUCUAUGGAUCGUAAACCUCUUUUAUAAGGGAAUAAAGUGCGGGACGUGUCCCGUUUUGUAUGUACCUUAUGAAUAAGGAUCGGCUAACUCCGUGCCAGCAGCCGCGGUAAUACGGAGGAUCCGAGCGUUAUCCGGAUUUAUUGGGUUUAAAGGGUGCGUAGGCGGCCUUUUAAGUCAGCGGUGAAAGUCUGUGGCUCAACCAUAGAAUUGCCGUUGAAACUGGGGGGCUUGAGUAUGUUUGAGGCAGGCGGAAUGCGUGGUGUAGCGGUGAAAUGCUUAGAUAUCACGCAGACCCCCGAUUGCGAAGGCAGCCUGCCAAGCCAUGACUGACGCUGAUGCACGAAAGCGUGGGGAUCAAACAGGAUUAGAUACCCUGGUAGUCCACGCAGUAAACGAUGAUCACUAGCUGUUUGCGAUACAUUGUAAGCGGCACAGCGAAAGCGUUAAGUGAUCCACCUGGGGAGUACGCCGGCAACGGUGAAACUCAAAGGAAUUGACGGGGGCCCGCACAAGCGGAGGAACAUGUGGUUUAAUUCGAUGAUACGCGAGGAACCUUACCCGGGUUUGAACGCAUUCGGACCGAGGUGGAAACACCUUUUCUAGCAAUAGCCGUUUGCGAGGUGCUGCAUGGUUGUCGUCAGCUCGUGCCGUGAGGUGUCGGCUUAAGUGCCAUAACGAGCGCAACCCUUGCCACUAGUUACUAACAGGUAAAGCUGAGGACUCUGGUGGGACUGCCAGCGUAAGCUGCGAGGAAGGCGGGGAUGACGUCAAAUCAGCACGGCCCUUACAUCCGGGGCGACACACGUGUUACAAUGGCGUGGACAAAGGGAAGCCACCUGGCGACAGGGAGCGAAUCCCCAAACCACGUCUCAGUUCGGAUCGGAGUCUGCAACCCGACUCCGUGAAGCUGGAUUCGCUAGUAAUCGCGCAUCAGCCAUGGCGCGGUGAAUACGUUCCCGGGCCUUGUACACACCGC
rnacentral:rRNA from 1 species